UACAGAGGGUGCGAGCGUUGUCCGGAAUCACUGGGCGUAAAGGGCGCGUAGGUGGCCCGACAAGUCAAUGGUGAAAGUUCGACGCUUAACGUCGAAUCGGCCACUGAUACUGUUGGGCUGGAGCACUGUAGAGGCUCAUGGAAUUCCGGGUGUAGCGGUGGAAUGCGUAGAGAUCCGGAAGAACACCGGUGGCGAAGGCGGUGAGCUGGGCAGUUGCUGACACUGAGGAGCGAAAGCCAGGGGAGCAAACGGG
rnacentral:rRNA from 1 species